GGCGAAAUGGCCGAGUGGUCUAAGGCGUCAGACUCAAGUUUAUACACUUAUGCACAAUGUGCAGAGACGAGGUUUCUGAUCUCGUUAUCGAGGCGUGGGUUCGAAUCCCACUUUCGUCA
rnacentral:tRNA from 1 species